CUCUAUCCCACGUAGCUCACUGUAGGUAAGCCUUAGUGAUCCGCUACCAGAGCAUCCAGGCGGUAUCAAAACCUACUCCUCACUGUCAUCCAGCUGGAUUUGGGGGAGAGAGCAGAGCAGAACAAUACUUGGGCCUGUUUAAUAAGGUCAAAAGUCACUGGCCAUGGGGAUUGCUUCAGGGAUGAACUUGUGACCUAAACAAGCCUAAUCAGCAUCCUCUCAAGGAUGUUUCUGCUGGAGCUGACAGGGAAGAUGCUCUGGACAACAUUAGCUGGUGCUGCUUGUGGCCAUCUUUCCCAGCUGCAGUGAAGGAAUGUGUCUGUAACAGGAGAGGAGAUCAACAUGCAAAGAAAAUGUGAGCCAAAAAUGAAGCUGGAAAGAGAAAGAGAUUGGCCUGAAAAUAUUGAUUGUGCCUUUGGACUCAGCUGGGCCAGAGCUUUUCCCAUGGUAUGCUCAUUCUACGAUGUAUCAAUUAGGAAUAUUUAUUGUAUAUAACAGAAAGUCUGACUUACGGAAUAAAGCCAACUUGAGGAAUAAAAAAAGGGGGAGAGGGAGAGAGAGAAAAACAAUUUAUUGGUUUAUGAAACUGAAGAGCCCAGGAGUAGAUUUGUCUUAGGUGUUGCUGGAAACAUGCAACCUGCAUGACAUCACCAUGAUGGAUCUCUUGGAUCUGCUUUCUUCAGGUUAAACAUGAAUCAGAUGAUAAGCUGAGUGACAGAUACUCUGGUUUCCCCCAAAUCCAUGAUCCCUUUUGACAAGAGUUCCAUGGUUCCUGAAUCAAACAUCCAUGCUGGAUUCUCUCUUUAGGAUGAAUGAUUUCCCCACCAGUUCUCACCUCAUGAUCACUUAUACCUGAGUCUCAGUGCAGGACAAUUGGGCCCAAAUUUCACCUCCCCAUCCUGUCCCAAUACAACAAAAUACUUGAUCACUGGUGUGCUGCUCUCAUAAUUUUUUUCAUCUUCUCUAAAUUCUUGUACGAUCUUUCUUUACCACACUUUCAUUUUGGUUCUCCCUUCUCUUCUUAAAAUAAGUUCUUAAACUUCUACACAAUGGUGCAGUCUUUCUUCCUUCCUCCCAAGAUAAUAUAGGUAAGCUGUUUACCAUAGCGCCUGGCACAUGGUAUGCUCGAUAAAUAGCUAUGAUGAUAGCGAUGAUGAUGACAAUGAUGCAGCAUCACGCCCUUAUGUAGGUUUGGGAAGAUUUGACAAUUGUUUUCAACGCUUAACAACCUGAUACAAGAUCUUCUUCAUAUAUCAUCUGUAUUUCUUGCUGCAAAUAAACUAUUUCUAGUAAGUUCUGGGUAUAAGCAAUUACUCAGGAAGAAUGAAAAUUGUUAAAAUUCUCACUGACCUGCUGUCUUAUUUCUUUAAGUUUUGCUACAAUAUUUUCUUUUUCCAGACUCUUUAAACCCUGAGGACAUUCACACAUGUUAAUAUGCAUGGCUGGUUUGGACACAGGAACAAGAUUUAUUUUUAACGUUAAAAAAAGCAUUCCUUCUUUUUCCUUUCCUUUUAAAGUGAUAAUGAGAGUCUCAAAUAUAACUCUGAGAUUCUGGCUCCAAGAGAGUUCAACUAACAAAUUGAACACUGGAGGGAAAAA
ensembl:lncRNA